rnacentral:lncRNA from 1 species
AUAGGACAAAUGCAACAAACCGGAUAUUUCUGCCAAAGUAGGAGUCAUUUCACAUUCCCCAAACCUGAACACCAAACUACUUGGAUCCCAAAAGGUCAACAAAGCCUCUAUUAAAUCUGGACGAGGGGUAACAUGCAGAAGUUCCGUAAGAUCACCUAAUAUUUUAAUCAGUUUCUGCUGAUCAACAUAGUUAAACAUUUCCCACCACUUGAUUAACUUUUUG